GAUGAACGCUGGCGGCGUGCUUAACACAUGCAAGUCGAACGGACAGACGAGGAUCUUGCUGGUUUCACGUUAGCCGCGGGGGUGUGAGUAACAUGAGGAUAACCUCCCUAUCAGACUGGGAACACUUCGGGACUCCGGAUCUAAUACCGGAUAAUAUAUUGAACCGCAGGGUGAGAUGGUGAGAGACGGUGUUGCUGGAACUUAUAGAUGGUUCCGAGCCGGAUUGGCUAGUUGGUAGGGUAACGGCUUACCAAGGCAAGGAGGCGUGGCCGACCGCAUAGGCGGGUAGGCCACCCUGGAACUGAGACACGGACCAGGCUCCUACGGGAGGCAGCAGUCGGGAACCUUCGGCAAUGGGCGAAAGCCUGACGCAGCAAGGCCGCGUGAGUGAUGAAGGUCUUCCGUUCGGAAACCUCUGUUUUUAGUGAAGAACAAAUGUGGAAUUAACCAUGGAGGUCUUGACGGUACCGGAUCAAAAAGCCACGGCUAACUACGUG
rnacentral:rRNA from 1 species